rnacentral:tRNA from 1 species
GAGGGCAUAGACCAGUGGUAGAGUGCAUGCCUAGGAUGCAUGAGGUCCUGGGUUCAAUUCUCAGCACCUCCA